AUGGGAUGCCCUAUCCGGUGUAAGCUAAACAUAGAUGGAACACAAUAUGUGGUCACUGAAUAUUUUGACGAGCACAACCACAAACUCAUAAAGAAGUUCGACCUGGUCAAAUUUCUGACCGCCCACAGAGGAUUCACCCCAGUCGAAAAGCAAUUCGUAAAGCUGCUACAUGAUUGUAACGUCGGUCCAUCAAGAAUGGUCCAGAUACUAUCACUCAUCCACAGCAAAAAGGGGAAACUGAGUAGAAUGCCCUACAUACCAGCUGACGUCACAAACCUACAGGCCAACUACCGUAGAGAGAGCAGGCUGGCUGACAUACAGGCUACAAUGUCCUACUUCGAUGAGAAAGCAAAGGAAGAUCCAGAUUUCUUCUACAGGAUAAGGUUGGACGAUGAGGACCGUGUCAGGAACAUGUAUUGGGUGGAUGGUGCUGCAAGGAGAGCCUACAAACAUUUCCGAGAUUGCAUUUCGUUCGACGCGACGUACCUCACCAAUAUGUACAAGAUGCCAUGCGCUCCGUUCAUAGGAAUAAAUAACCACAAUCAGUCAUUGCAAUUCGGCUGCGGGCUCGUUCGGAACAAAGACAGAGGGUACGUCUGGCUGUUCAAGACCUUCUUGGAGUGCAUGGAUGGACUUGCUUCGAUGAACAUAAUAACAGACCAGGAUUUCAGCAUGCGUGCAGGCAUAGAGGAGGUCUUUCCGUUGGCAGUGCACAGGCACUGCAGGUGGCACAUUAUAAAGAAGGCUGAGGAGACGCUAGAGUUUGAAAGGAGCUGGAUGGCCAUGGUUGAAACACAUCAAGUCCAAGAGAACUAGACGCUUGCUAGCCUGUGGGAGAAGCGAAUGUACUGGGUGCCCGCCUACUUCAUGCAGUGCUUCUUCCCCUUUCUGCAGACUACGCAGUGCAGCGAGGGGUUCAAUGCUGUUUUGAAGCGAUACGUGAGCCCUGGCAACUCAUUGCUACAAUUUGCCAAGCAGUACGCAGCUUUGCAACAAAAAAUUCUGGGAUCUGAGCUACAACAAGAAGCUACCACCGCGCUAAAGCAGCCGAAAUUGCUAACGUAUUUACCAAUGGAGAGGCAAUGAGCAAGAUAUACACAAACAAGAUCUUUAACAAAACCUGAAGACCCGGACAAAGGAAGGAACUACUUCGUGAAAGCCUCGAUCGAGCAAGGCGAAUACUACUGCCAAUGCUGCAAGUUCGAACGGGACGGCAUUGUGUGUUGUCACGUACUAAAAGUAAUGGACAUGAACGCUGAGAGACCUGAGUUAACCAUGGAAGCCGUGAGGCAUGUUGUGCUGACAAAGAACUAUGCUGAGCUAAUUGAUGAAGCGUGCAAGAGUGAUGAGACAGCGAGAGUCGUAGAAAAACACAGGAAGGCACUGAAAAUAGAGCUUGAUGAGAUAAAGAAGAAGAAAGCUGAGGAAGCCUUACACCGGUUCCCCCGCACAUCAAGUGUGCCUUCAUCGACGGGGCCAUCAUCUGAAAACUCGGAGAUAGGAUCUGGAACAGCAAGCACACAAACCCAGGCCAGGAACCCACCCCGUUCCAUCACAAAGGGUCGUCCAAGAGAGAUAAGGUACAAGUCAGGAUUGGAGAUUCAAGCAAAACACAAGAAAACGAAGAAAAGGGCGGGCUAUACAUGA
rnacentral:rRNA from 1 species